CCUACGGGCGGCAGCAGUGGGGAAUAUUGGACAAUGGGCGAAAGCCUGAUCCAGCCAUGCCGCGUGUGUGAAGAAGGCCUUCGGGUUGUAAAGCACUUUCAGUGGGGAAGAAAGCCUUGGGGCUAAUACCCUCGAGGAAGGACAUCACCCACAGAAGAAGCACCGGCUAACUCCGUGCCAGCAGCCGCGGUAAUAUGGAGGGUGCGAGCGUUAAUCGGAAUUACUGGGCGGAAAGCGCGCGUAGGCGGUCUGAUAAGCCGGUUGUGAAAGCCCCGGGCUCAACCUGGGAACGGCAUCCGGAACUGUCAGGCUAGAGUGCAGGAGAGGAAGGUAGAAUUCCCGGUGUAGCGGUGAAAUGCGUAGAGAUCGGGAGGAAUACCAGUGGCGAAGGCGGCCUUCUGGACUGACACUGACGCUGAGGUGCGAAAGCGUGGGUAGCAAACAGGAUUAGAUACCCUGGUAGUC
rnacentral:rRNA from 1 species